GACGAACGCUGGCGGCGUGCUUAACACAUGCAAGUCGAACGGAAAGGCCUCUUUCGGGGGGUACUCGAGUGGCGAACGGGUGAGUAACACGUGAGUAACCUGCCCUCUACUUUGGGAUAACUUCCGGAAACUGGGGCUAAUACCGGAUAGGAGCUCCUGCUGCAUGGUGGGGGUUGGAAAGUUUCGGCGGUUGGGGGUGGGCUCGCGGCUUAUCAGCUUGUUGGUGGGGUAGUGGCUUACCAAGGCUUUGGCGGGUAGCCGGCCUGGGAGGGUGACCGGCCACAUUGGGGCUGGAGUACGGCCCAGACUCCUACGGGAGGCAGCAGUGGGGAAUAUUGCACAAUGGGUGGAAGCCUGAUGCAGCAACGCCGUGGGGGGGAUGACGGCCUUCGGGUUGUAAACCGCUUUCGCUCAUGACGAAGCUUUGUGUGACGGUAGUGGGUAAAGAAGCACCGGCUAACUACGUG
rnacentral:rRNA from 1 species